CUUCUCACUGUUUCUGGGAGAAGUCAGCUUUCAUAUCACAAAGACACUCAAGCAGCACUAUGAAGAGGCGCAGGUGGUAAAACUGAAGACCUUCACAAACAGCCAGCACUAAUUUGCCAACCAAAUGACGGUCUUUGGAAAACAGAUCCUCUGGCCUCAGGCAAGUCUUCAAAGACUACAGUCCCAGUCCACCUUUCACUGCAACCUCAUGGUGAAAAAUGAGAAGAUUAAAUAAGCCAUGGGAAGAUUUUUAAAAAUGACAUGAAACUCCAAGGGUAAAAAGUAGGCAUUUCCACCUUUCCCUGCUUCAUCCAUACCUCCAAAAACAGAACCCUUCAAAGAACGUCCUGAGAAGAACAACUGGCCACUGAUUUUGAGUUGAACACUGGCAGGCAACACCCCAACAACCACACAGACCCCAUAGCUCUCAUUGCAGGAGGCGAGGGCAGCUGCCUGUUAGAAAGUGAUGCAAUACAGUAUAGGGGUUAAAAGAUGUA